GACGAACGCUGGCGGCGUGCUUAACACAUGCAAGUCGAACGGAAAGGCCCUGCUUUUGUGGGGUGCUCGAGUGGCGAACGGGUGAGUAACACGUGAGUAACCUGCCCUUGACUUUGGGAUAACUUCAGGAAACUGGGGCUAAUACCGGAUAGGAGCUCCUGCUGCAUGGUGGGGGUUGGAAAGUUUCGGCGGUUGGGGAUGGACCCGCGGCUUAUCAGCUUGUUGGUGGGGUAGUGGCUUACCAAGGCUUUGACGGGAAGCCGGCCUGAGAGGGUGACCGGCCACAUUGGGACUGAGAUACGGCCCAGACUCCUACGGGAGGCAGCAGUGGGGAAUAUUGCACAAUGGGCGGAAGCCUGAUGCAGCAACGCCGCGUGCGGGAUGACGGCCUUCGGGUUGUAAACCGCUUUCGCCUGUGACGAAGCGUGAGUGACGGUAAUGGGUAAAGAAGCACCAGCUAACUACGUG
rnacentral:rRNA from 1 species